CAGUCACAGCAAUGCAGGAUCUGAGACGUCUGUGACCUAUACCACAGUUCACGGCAAUGCCAGAUCCUUAACCCACUGAGCGAGGCCUGGGAUCAAACCCACCUCUUCAUGGAUCCUAGUCGGGUUUGUUAACCCCUAAGCCAUGAAGGGAACUCCCCACAUGUAUUUUCUUAAUAAAUUCUGAAGCAACAUUGAGACGUAAAAAACAAAACAAAAACCUGACGUGUUUUUCACUUAGAUAGACCACAUAAAUAUGCAUGCAAAUGCCUCAAGUCUCAUUCACUUGAAAUAAAUGAAAAUGUUUACUUCCAUUCUGAUCUUUUAGUAUUGGUUUUUAAGACCUUGGAUUGGGUUGUCUGCAGACACAAACCCAUAUUUGGCCCAAUUGUGAGUAUUCUGAGCCAGUUUUCUCCUACUUAAAAUGAAGGGAAUUUUAACUAUUCUACAGAGCUUUCAAACAAGAUAAUAGCUUAGUAGCCCUGGCACACAGCAGGCUGCCUGUAAGAUCGCCCACUCUAGUUUCCAGUGAACAGAGAAGGAAUAGUCUAGUAGAGACAUCCCUUCAUAUUUACUUUUAUAUUUUCCUUUGUAUUUCCUUACACGUGCAUAGGAGAAUCAAAGCCUAAAGGAGGUUAUUAUUUCUCCCAUAAGUUGAGAUAACAUUCAAGAAAAUAUAUUUUUGAUGACUGUGUACUCAAAUGGCAUUGAGACCGUAGCUUGCAACUAUGUAAUCUCUUUGCAGAAGGAAGAUAAAGUUUUAUUCAAUCAGAUUUUUUGAAGAAACACAGAAACAUAGUCAUUAGAACCAUUAAAAUUCAUCUCGUUGCGUGAGUUCCUGUUGUGCCUCAGCAGGCUGCAAACAUGACUCGUAUCCAUGAGGAUGCAGGUUUGAUCCCUGGCCUCACUCAGUGGGUUAAGGAUCUGGUGUUGCUGUGACUAUGACCGUGGCUGGCAGCUGCAACUCCAAUUAGACCCCUAGCUUGGGAGCUUCCAUAUACUGCAGGUAUGGCCCUAAAAAGGAAAAAGAAAAAAUUCAUCUAUUUGAAACACAUGGUUUUGCUGUUAGAACCCUGGGGGAAGUUGAUUAAAGCCUGGAGAGGCAGGGUAGAAGCCAGAAGUAGGCUCUGGUUUGAAAGGCUCUCCCUUGUUUGUCUAAAAUCAUAAUGUGUGUUCUCAACCUGCAAAAUUUAUAAAAUUCCCAAAUAAUACCAUUUCACCCAGUUGAAUGCCUUUUUCUGUUUCAAACAAGAUUUUUUCAAAAGACAUGUAACUCUAAUGGAAGAUAAUAUGAGAAAAAGAAUGUAUGUAUAUAUGUGACUGGGUUACUAUGCUCUACAGCAAAAAUUGACUCAAUGCUAUAAAUCAACUACCCCCUAAUAAAAAAAUAAAUUUAAUUAAUUCAUUUUAUUUUAUUAUUUAUUUAUUUUUUGUCUUUUCUAGGGCUGUACUCACAGCAUAUGGAGGUUCCCAAGAUAGGAGUCUAAUCAGAGCUGUAGCUGCCGGCCUAUGCCACAGCCACAGCAACGCCAGAUCUGAGCCAAGUCUGCAACCUACACCACAGCUCAUUGCAAUGCCAGAUCCUUAACCCAAUGAGAGAGGCCAGGCAUCGAACUUGCAACCUCAUGGUUCCUAGUCAGAUUCGUUUGCUCUGCCCCACGAGGGGAACUCCCAAUUUAAUUAAUAAUAAUAAGACAUUAUAUGAGAUGGAUGAAGUCAAAGAAGGGAAGUUAUCAUGCUCAAGAGUCAAAGGGAAUCAGCAGCAAAAAACCUGUAUAUAGGAGUAAGGAACUCUGUGACCUUUCCCAUGAGAAGAAUUGUGGUUAACUCUUUGAGGAAUUUGUAUAGAUACAGAAAAAAUUAUCCUCAUGCCAACUCCAAAAUGGUUAUUACUAUUGCCUAAAGUUCUUUAAUAAUACUCAUUGCCUUAAUCCUACAGAAGUCUCUAAACUAUAAAUGUUCCUUAAAAAAAAAAAAAAUGUAACUCAACUGAAUCGAAUGGGGUAACUUAACUAGAUAAGCUUCCUAAAGUUUUUGGUUUUCAUUUCUUAGAGCAAAGACCAUAUUUUAGUAAUUUAUUUAUUUUAAGCACUUAGAACAGUGCCACCUGGAAGGGUAGAGUUGUUUGAUAAUUAUUGGUGUAAUAACUAUAUGUCCUGUUCUUUAAGAUUCAGAAUUGUUUCACAAUUGAUGGCUAAGAAAAAAUAAUAUUUUUAAAAAGAGAAUAUGACAGCUAUAUUUAUCAUUUUUAAUUAACCUUUGGCCAAAUUUUUUUACUACAAAGUCACACAUACAUCUUAAUUAAGGGACAUAAAAUAUUAUUAAUGUGUAUUAUCUUUUGAGGAGGAGUUAAAAAUUUUGCAGGUUCUUUUUACGUGGCAUCUUUUACACAUUUUGAAAAGGUCUGUUUUGAUAAUUUUAUAGGAAAUUUAUGCAGUGGCUCCAAACCUUAAGUCUGAUCCUGAUACAGCAGAAAUGAGCUAAUGAGGAGUUCCCCUCGUGGCGCAGUGGUUAAUGAAUCCGACUAGGAACCAUGAGGUUGCGGGUUCGGUCCCUGCCCUUGCUCAUGGGUUAACGAUCCGGCGUUGCCGUGAGCUGCGGUGUAGGUCGCAGAGGCGGCUCAAAUCCCGCGUUGCUGUGGCUCUGGCGUAGGCUGGUGGCUACAGCUCCGAUUAGACCCCUAGCCUGGGAACCUCCAUAUGCCGCGGGAGUGUCCCAAAGAAAUAGCAAAAAGACAAAAAAAAAAAAAAAAA
ensembl:lncRNA